rnacentral:rRNA from 1 species
GCCUACGGGGCGCAGCAGUGAGGAAUAAUGGUCAAUGGUCGGGAGACUGAACCAGCCAAGCCGCGUGAGGGAGGAAGGUACAGAGUAUCGUAAACCUCUUUUGCCAGGGAACAAAGGCGGGGACGUAUCCCCGGAUGAGUGUACCUGAAGAAAAAGCAUCGGCUAACUCCGUGCCAGCAGCCGCGGUAAUACGGAGGAUGCGAGCGUUAUCCGGAUUUAUUGGGUUUAAAGGGUGCGCAGGCGGUCUGUUAAGUCAGCGGUCAAAGCCCGGGGCUCAACCCCGGCCCGCCGUUGAAACUGGCAGU